rnacentral:rRNA from 1 species
AUGGAUUUCCCAUCUUUCGACGGGGAUAACCCCCAAUUCUGGAAGAACAAGUGUGAAAAAUACUUUGAUGUUUUUGGGAUUGCUCCGGAUAUGUGGGUUAGAUUAGCGACACUGCACUUCACGGGCAAUGCAGCUCGUUAGCUACAGUUGCAUGAGUCACAAAACACUGUAUUCACUUGGGAAACACUUUGUAGUGCAUUGAGUAUCAAGUUUGGGCGGGAGCAAUAUCAGGCACAUAUCCGGCAAUUCAAUACAUUGCGGCAAAAAAAUACUGUGCAUGAGUAUAUGCAGUGUUUUGAGGAGUUGAUGCAUCACAUAUUAGCUCAUAAUCCUGCAUUCGAU